rnacentral:sRNA from 1 species
UUGCUUCCAGAAGUCUAUGCGCUCAAUA